UAUUGGAGAGUAGGGACUCUGACAUACAGGCUCUCAUCUAAGUAUUGCGCCUAGGCAUCGAAAGAAAGAUGUUGUCUUCAUGCGUGCUGCAUCGCCAUGUGAUUUCAAUGUCUGGAUUCAAAAUAUUAAACAAUCCUUGCUUUAAAGUUUUUGCACAAUUGGAUGAAAAAUAACUUCUGGAUCAAGAAGUGUUUCAUCGGAAUUUAUUUAGAGGGCAAUAUUUUGGAUAAGUUACUGAACUAAAGGAUCCAAAAGGAAUAAAGAUUUGGAAAAAGUGAUUCAACCAAGUUUUGAAAAAUUUGACCAUAAUUUCUCUUCUGAAAAAGUUUAUUUGUAAUUAUGUUGUUAUUUAACUUGUAAUUA